AACAAAUCCUCUGUUCUACAUGUCAUACCCUAUUAAAAAGAAACAAACUAAAAAAGAAAUAAUUCCAUCAAUCUUUGUACCCAAAACACACUUUUUAAUCUUACGAAAGGUGAAAUACAAAUUUCGCAUCUUCUGAAGAAAGAUUCAGUAAAUAAUAAGAGUUAUUAAAUGAAAAAAUAGACUCAUUUCACGCCUCCAAUCAACUCAACAGUUUGUCAGACAUCCAAUUAAGUUUGUUUUUAGAGCAAGAGCUUAUUUUUAUCCUUAUCAAAAAUUAUAAGAAGCUUCCACUGACAAAGUUUGUGUAUCUUUUAUUCUAGGGUAGGAAGACUAUAAUGUGGAACCAAAAGUGAUGAUUACAAAAAUUGAGAAAUUAAUUUCUUCUAAUGUCUCGUAUACCAAUAUGUUAAAAUUUGCAAAUUUUGCUCUCUUCGCCAUCAAUAGGAACAGAGAAAGACUAAUAUAUACAAUGGGCCUUGUUCGUAAGCGCUAUAUGCGUUGUAAAUUAUAUGAUGAUUUUUAAAUUGAUUGAAUUAAUAGCUUAGAAACGUAUAAUUUCAUUUUUAAAAGCUAUGGUCCCACUGUUAAUCAGCAAGUGAUCCUGGAGUAAACAGCAGAGAGAACUGUCAAAUGUAAAUUGAAUUCAUUGUCCAAAAAUUAUUGUAUUUAAUAUUAUAAUAUUGAUGUAAGUAAAUGUGACUUUCAUUUCUGUAUUCAGGGCGAAAAAUUAUUUUUACUGCACUAAUUUUUUUCUAUGAGGGUAUAUAAAAAAAAUCAUAUGCAUAUUGUUAUUUAAACUGGAGUUUUGAAUGUAUUAUUAUUGGUUUGCAUUGGUUUAUAUAAUGCUAAUAAAUGGUUUUCUACAUUA
rnacentral:lncRNA from 1 species